rnacentral:rRNA from 1 species
UACGCUGGCGGCACGCCUAACACAUGCAAGUCGAACGAAGUAGCAAUACUUAGUGGCAGACGGGUGAGUAACAUGUAGGUAUCUGCCCUUUGGCCUGGAAUAACACGAGGAAACUUGUGCUAAUACCGGAUAAGUCUUUACGGAGAAAGCUUUAUGCACCAUUGGAUGAGCCUGCACUUGAUUAGUUUGUUGGUGGGGUAAUGGCCUACCAAGACUGUGAUCAAUAGCUGAUUUGAGAGGAUGAUCAGCCACAUUGGGACUGAGACACGGCCCAAACUCCUACGGGAGGCAGCAGUGGGGAAUCUUGCACAAUGGAGGAAACUCUGAUGCAGCGAUGCCGCGUGAGUGAAGAAGGCCCUUGGGUUGUAAAGCUCUUUCGUCGGGGAAGAAAAUGACUGUACCCGAAUAAGAAGGUCCGGC